CAGCAUGAGAGGAAGGGCUGCGAGCUACAGAAAGAUAUAUUUUCCACCCCAUGCAAGAGUCACCGAGAACACCUACUGACAGCUGGCUGCCUAGCAGUCUUGUCCCAAGGCCACAUAGGCAGAAGCAAGGCCGUAAGCUCUGUAUGGUGAGAACAACGCAGGAGCCAGGUAACGAAGCAAGGGCUUUCCCCUGUAGUUUGAACCAUCAGUGAUUUCAGAAAAUCUCUAAAAUAGUGCAGCAGCCAUACUUUUCUCGAGAGUGGAUGAUGGAGAGGAAAAAGCAUUAGCCAAACAGCAGGAGACCUGGAUUUCAAAGUGGGCAGUUAACAGGGAUGAGUCGGUUUUACACAACAGGUGUGGAUAGAAGGUAGGGGUGGAUGCAGCCGAAUGGGAACUCUGGAAUCCAAACCCAGUUCAAAUUCUUACCUAUUUCAAAACCCAGUUCAAGUUCUAGGAGGAGAGAAACCAGGUGCAGUCGAGCACGCCUUUCAUCCCACACCGCUCUGGGAGACUGAGGCAGGAAGAUGCAAAAGUUCUGCGUGGGCCACUUUCACCUUGCACACACGCCUCGCCUCAUGAUUCCGUCACUACUUGGGAAAAGGAUGAGCGGUUGUUCUGGUCACUUUACACUCGUCCCAGCACAGGAAGCGGCGGGCUGGAAGAGGACCGGGAGACAGCCGCGAAGACAUCAAAGGGCAAAGACAGGAUUCUCCUUCACAUUAUUCCCAUCCCCCGGAACACAAAACUCUCGGCAGUUAAUUCGACAUUAAAAUGCCCGGGGUCUCCAAGGCUUACUCCAGGCUUGGGACGAGGUCACAGUCCGGGCCACAGCAAACUUCGACGCGGAAGUCCUUACACACGCAAACAAC